rnacentral:rRNA from 1 species
GACGAACGCUGGCGGCGUGCUUAACACAUGCAAGUCGAACGGAAAGGCCCUGCUUUUGUGGGGUGCUCGAGUGGCGAACGGGUGAGUAACACGUGAGUAACCUGCCCUUGACUUUGGGAUAACUUCAGGAAACUGGGGCUAAUACCGGAUAGGAGCUCCUGCUGCAUGGUGGGGGUUGGAAAGUUUCGGCGGUUGGGGAUGGACUCGCGGCUUAUCAGCUUGUUGGUGGGGUAGUGGCUUACCAAGGCUUUGACGGGUAGCCGGCCUGAGAGGGUGACCGGCCACAUUGGGACUGGGAUACGGCCCAGACUCCUACGGGAGGCAGCAGUGGGGAAUAUUGCACAAUGGGCGGAAGCCUGAUGCAGCAACGCCGCGUGCGGGAUGACGGCCUUCGGGUUGUAGACCGCUUUCGCCUGUGACGAAGCGUGAGUGACGGUAAUGGGUAAAGAAGCACCGGCUAACUACGUG